CUUUACUCUUCGCUCUCCUCACCUUAAGCAGAAGGAAGGAGACACAUUUGUUGCUGUGAGCUGUUUUGCCUCAGGUUGAGGGAGGACUGGCGCAAGCAUUCCCUUAGCUACUCCAGCUGGUGUCUCUCUAGGUCACAUGCCACCCCAGUCCUCUGGCUCUAAGCCCAGCCCAGCACUAGGAGUUGCCUAGGAAUUGCAGUCCCUGUGUCCUAGACUGUCUUUCAAGUUUACCUAGAGCCCCAGAACCCUCUGGCCUGCUGUGGUGAGGCUUGCCAAGAAAUUUGAGUUCUGACUUAUGGAAUGUGUGAUUCCCCUCUGACUAGGUCUGCUCCAAAUGCACCUUCCAUGUGCAGUCAGUGGCUGAACCUAGCAUGGCUUUGCUUUCUGCUAUGACAGGUCAGCACUGAGUUCAGGGUAAAGUACGCCAGUCACUGCACUCUCUCUCUCUCCGAAGUGCAUAGACUCUGUGCUACACGGCCACUGCCAGGGCUGGAGGAGGAAUGAUGUCGGCAACUCAAGGCUGUCUCUUCAACCCUUUUCAAUGCCUCUGUCAACAACAUGAAGUUAAAACCAGAUAAACUAGAAGAUUUGGUGCCCAGCAUGAAGAAUAGUUCCUUUCAAGUACCUGUAUGUCCUGAAUGUAUUCCUUCCAGUGGGUUCUUGGUCUCGCUGACUUCAAGAAUGAAGCCUUGGACCCUCGUGAUAUGUGCUCACCCUUCUCUGCUCAGCUCUGUGCCUGGGAGGCUGACCUCUACAAACUGCAUCACCAGGCUUCCGCCCUCUGGCUUCCAGAUGGAUUUGGCCAAUGGGCAGCACCAGUGGGAAAGGAGAGGACAGGAGGAGAGACAGGCUGAGGUCAUGUAUUUAUCCCCCUCUUCCCUACCCCAUGACAGUUCUGACAGGCAGCCCCUCCGUUUCUCCAGCUCUCAGCUGAGCUCCAGUAACAAGCUUCCUUCUCUUUCCCCUUUAGGGUUGGGGUGGCAAGAGCCACCACCUGGGUGUCUCACUAUAUCUUGUUGGCUUCCCUAAUCCUGCCUACAUUAAUCAUUUUUUUUAAAUUUCAAACUCUCUUGAUGCUUCCAUUUGUUUCCCGAGGAAUCCUGGCUAAUGGAGCAAGCUUGGACACAUUCCUUCAUUUCACAGGUCCUCAGUUUAUUUAGCUGUAAAAUGAAGGGCCUGAGCAGCCUUUCCCAAAGUGGAUUCUGCACAUCAGUCUCACCAUAUUCCAUUUUGUAUUCUGUGGUCAAAUAUGUUUGGGGAACACUGAAUAUAAUGUCCCCUUUUGGAGAGCCACAAUUUGUGGCACCGUGUCAACAACUCUGAGAGGUCCUGAAGUAGAUACACCUGUUUUACCCUGUUUAGUUCAGCAUUUCCCAAAUAUAGUUAACAAUGGAACCACUGUUUUUUGCUUGUUUGCUUUUGCAGAAAACCCUAAUAACAUAGAGAAAACACCAGAUCAAGUUGGGCCAUGUAUGGCAUUGUCUUAUUCUGUGGAAAGGCCUCCCUCCUCCUGUGUCCCUGACAUACAGUGACAGUGCUGCCCUGCAGCUCAGGAUGGAUGCAGUCAAGGACGACAGCGCAUGUCCAAAAAAGCUGUCUGCUGAACAUUUGCCCAGCAGAUUUUAGAAAGAAAGGAAACAUCUUAGUGAUUUUCUUGCCUCCAGAAGAUUCCCUGAUCCAAUCUUUCCUUGGCACAAACUUUUAGUUAUUGUGUUUACAUAUACAUUUUAUAUAUGUGUGGUCAUUAUUGUAUCUGUUUUAUUUGGGGACUUUAUCUUGAUGUGUGUUAUACCUAAUACACUGCAAUAUAAAUUAUGUAAUUAUGUGCUUUUUUUUUUUGAGAUGGAGUCUCGUUCUGUCACCCAUGCUGGAGUGCAGUGGUGUGAUCUCGGCUCACUGCAACCUCCACCUUCUGGGUUCAAGUGAUUCUGCUGCUUCUGCGUCUCAAGUAGCUGGGACUACAGGCGCCUGCCACCACACUCAGCUAAUUUUUUUUUUUUUUUUUUAAGUAGAGGUGGGGCUUCACCAUGUUGGCCAGGCUGCUUUCGAACUCCUGACGUCAGGUGAUCCACCCACCUCAGCCUCACAAAGUCCUGGAUUACAGGCAUGAGCCACCACACCCGCCCUGUGCUUUCAAUAAGUACUUUCUCACUGCUUACUGACUGAUACCCCUAGCUUUUGUAUCAUGAGGAAAAAGAGGCAUAAGAGAAUGAAUCCCUGGCCCCAGUAUCAGUCAGGAUUUAAUCAGAAAACAGAAGUCAUGCUAGGUUUUUGAUGAGUUGGAGAGAGUUGAAAGAGGAAUUAAGGCUUGCACAACCAUUAGAAGGGCUGGGUAAGGAAAGGUCAGACGGUUGCUCUUAGGGCAUCUGAAAUGCAGAGAUCUCAAGAGAAAUUGGGGCUUCUGUUGUGAUCAAGUUGCCCAUAGCAGGUGCUUCUCAGCAGGACCCUGAGAAGCUGAGGCUCUGAGUAACCGCCUGUAGCUGGCACUAAAGAAAAAUGGCUUCUCCUUUUCUGCCUCAGAUGUUUCACGGGGGUGCCUCUCACUGGACAAAUGUAACCUCGAGGCACAUAGGAAAAGAACUGGGUAGUGAGGUUUCUGGUUUUCCUCCAAGAUGGAGAAGAGUGGAGGGCUGGGGAGCAUGAGUCACAAUGAAGUUGAACUAUCAACAGACCACCCAGAAACAAAACCUCCCAUAUAUUAAUGAAAAAUAAAAAAAGCAAACAGCAAUUGAUAAACAAAUGUAUUUAAGUUAUACCAAGGGCAAGAUUGCUCUGUCAAAAAGCAUUUGAUAAUCAGUUAAUUGGUGAGUGUCUGCUAUGCAGAAUUAGAGGCAGUUAUUUUUUUGUUUGUUUGUUUUUGUUUUAGAUUAUUUCUUGCUCAAAACUCACUCAGGUUCCUGGGCUAUAAUACUUGAGCCAGACAGAGCAGCUUUGAUCUCACUGGCAGUUUGUUUAGAAGCCUGAGAUCUGGAGUGGCUUUCUAAAAUCUUCAGCUCUAAAAACCAAUACAGUUUAGUAAAAAUCUAUACAUUUGCUUGCAAUAGUCUCAAGUACAUAGUAAAAUGACAGAAAUGAUUUCAACCAAGAAAUUAGCCAUUUUCUUCCUCUUGAUUUAAGAAGGGAGAAAUAGCUUUGGAGGGAAGUGGCAAUAUUUCUAAAUUUACACACAAAUUCACACCGACAGUAUGCUCCUAAUGGUUGCCACAUUUAGAGCUAACCUGGUUUUCUGAGAUUGAUCUGGGAUGGAAGGAGAAAGAACAGCUAACUGACCGGAAGCUAAACGCCACAAGGCAAAGCCUCUUUGUUAGAAGCUGAAGAUUAUCAUAUUUCUAGGGGAGGCUGGAUGCUUUGGUUAAGAGAGACCUAGUUAUGAAUCCAGCCUUCUAAAGACCUCCAGGGAGAACUCUGCAAGUCUCCUCAGGGCAGGGGUUCUGGGAGUUUCUAGGUUCUUGCAAUUCCUGCAAGCAAACACAUCAACACACAAAAAAGCACUGGGAAUUCAGAGUCCCAGAGAAGGACAUUUGGGUACAUCCCUCAAGGUUAAAAUUUGCUGGAAACUUUGAUAAGAUAUUUGGAUGUGGAGAAGACUGGGGAAGUGUUAAGUAAAGGAAUAUGAAGUUGGGAGUCAAUUAUUCAUUAUUUUCCCUAUUCCUCUCACCCAUUAGCAUCAAUAAUUGAAAAAGAACCAUCCAUGUGUGUAUGGGGAAGGCAGUAGGCUUAGAGGCUGCUAAUAACAAUUUAGUAAAUGAGGCCAAAAAUGGGGCUCUGCAGGCAACAAGCUUGACUGGGUAGAGCCAGGCCACCUCAAAGCUGAGGCUUUAACCACCAUGGCCUGCCAUCUGCAGCACAUGACUCACUGCAUCUUUAAGCAAGACUUUGCCCAAAUAAGUACCUUCCACUUUGGUUCUAUAUUGCUGCCACCAGUGUAACUACUCUGCUGCCUUUCCUAGGGGUGGGGACAAGCUACCUCCUUGAGUUUGAGGCUUGAGCCUACCUUUGUACCUGUGGUCCUUAAGAGGUGCUGUCCUUCUCAUUUAGCUCAUACAAAGUGACUCGGGCAUCCUGCAGCAUCCCUGUACAGGUAUCAGCCCAGUCCACACUGCUAAUUGCACCCAUUUUCUUCAAAGUCCAUCUGUUUACUUAAGCAUGUUGGUGCUCAUGCUCAAUGUGCAAGGUAAUAUAGAUUGAUAUGGAUUCUUUGGGAUUUUUAGUUAAGUGGUUUCUGCUUGUGACAUUCUUUCCUUUUUUCUUUCUUUCUUUCUUUUUUUUGAGACGGAGUCUCUGUCGCCAGGCUGGAGUGCAGUGGCAUGAUCUCAGCUAGGCUCACUGCAACCUCCGUCUCCCGGGUUCAAGCAAUUCUCCUGCCUCAGCCUCCCAUGUAGCUGGGAUUACAGGCGCAUGCCACCAUGCCCAGCUAGUUUUUUUGUAUUUUUUUUUUAGUAGAGACGGGGUUUCACCAUAUUGGUCAGGCUGGUCUUGAACUCCUGACCUUGUGAUCUGCCCGCCUCGGCCUCCCAAAGUGCUGGGAUUACAGGCAUGAGCCACCACGCCUGACCUGCUUGUGACAUUAUUUUCUGCCUUUUAAAUACAAAUAGAAGUAUACAAAAGCAUAUACCUCAGUGCUUCAGGGAGAAAAGUGUGUUAGAUAAAUAGACUACCUGUAAGGAAGACUUAGUAUAAUGACAAGCAUGACUGCUUGGUAUAUUCAGAAUUUUGAUGUGUGACAAAUAAUGUGUGUCAUUCUUUGAAAUAUAAAUGUUAGAGCUUCUUAUGUUAAAAGAAGCCAUCCUAACCAAAUAAUACUCUAGGCUUUCAGUGUACCUAUAAACAUGUUCAUCUGGUGGGAAUUAAGAGAUAUGCCAAAAAACAGAUUUGAAUUUGAGCAAAAGAAUAGCAAUACAUUAACUGCUAUAUUAUAGAGUUUGUAAAGAUUGCUAUAGUGAUUAUCAGUGCUUCACGGUGUCAUUAUUGGCUUCACUAUUAAAGAUAUUGCUGUGAAAAUGAAAAUU
rnacentral:lncRNA from 10 species